GGAGGAAAGCAGGGGAUCGCAAGACCUCGCGCUAUUGGAGUGGCCGAUGUCCGAUUAGCUAGUUGGUGGGGUAAUGGCCUACCAAGGCGACGAUCGGUAGCUGGUCUGAGAGGAUGAUCAGCCACACUGGGACUGAGACACGGCCCAGACUCCUACGGGAGGCAGCAGUGGGGAAUUUUGGACAAUGGGCGCAAGCCUGAUCCAGCCAUGCCGCGUGAGUGAAGAAGGCCUUCGGGUUGUAAAGCUCUUUCGGCCGGAACGAAAUCGUCCGGGUUAAUACCCCGGAUGGAUGACGGUACCGGAAGAAGAAGCACCGGCUAACUACGUGCCAGCAGCCGCGGUAAUACGUAGGGUGCAGGCGUUAAUCGGAAUUACUGGGCGUAAAGCGUGCGCAGGCGGCUUCCUAAGUCAGAUGUGAAAUCCCCGGGCUCCAACCAAAGGAAAACUUUGCUGGUUUUUUGGUA
rnacentral:rRNA from 1 species